rnacentral:rRNA from 1 species
CUAAUACAUGCAAGUCGAGCGGACAGAAGGGAGCUUGCUCCCGGAUGUUAGCGGCGGACGGGUGAGUAACACGUGGGUAACCUGCCUGUAAGACUGGGAUAACUCCGGGAAACCGGAGCUAAUACCGGAUAGUUCCUUGAACCGCAUGGUUCAAGGAUGAAAGACGGUUUCGGCUGUCACUUACAGAUGGACCCGCGGCGCAUUAGCUAGUUGGUGAGGUAACGGCUCACCAAGGCGACGAUGCGUAGCCGACCUGAGAGGGUGAUCGGCCACACUGGGACUGAGACACGGCCCAGACUCCUACGGGAGGCAGCAGUAGGGAAUCUUCCGCAAUGGACGAAAGUCUGACGGAGCAACGCCGCGUGAGUGAUGAAGGUUUUCGGAUCGUAAAGCUCUGUUGUUAGGGAAGAACAAGUGCAAGAGUAACUGCUUGCACCUUGACGGUACCUAACCAGAAAGCCACGGCUAACUACGUGCCAGCAGCCGCGGUAAUACGUAGGUGGCAAGCGUUGUCCGGAAUUAUUGGGCGUAAAGGGCUCGCAGGCGGUUUCUUAAGUCUGAUGUGAAAGCCCCCGGCUCAACCGGGGAGGGUCAUUGGAAACUGGGAAACUUGAGUGCAGAAGAGGAGAGUGGAAUUCCACGUGUAGCGGUGAAAUGCGUAGAGAUGUGGAGGAACACCAGUGGCGAAGGCGACUCUCUGGUCUGUAACUGACGCUGAGGAGCGAAAGCGUGGGGAGCGAACAGGAUUAGA